GCCUGGGUGGCUCAGUGGGUUAAGUGUCUGACUUCAGCUCAGGCCAUGAUCUCAUGGUCUGUGGGUUCGAGCCCCACAUCAGGCU
rnacentral:tRNA from 1 species